rnacentral:RNase_P_RNA from 1 species
AGGAUGCCAGAUAACGUCUGGUGGAGGCGACUCCAAGGACAGUGCAACAGAAAUGUACCGCCGGCCUUAGGCCGGUAAGGGUGGAAGGGCAGUGUAAGAGACUACCGCCCGGCUGGUAACAGCCGGGGCACAUGUAAACCCCAUCCGAAGCAAGACCGAACAGGGAGCACAAGGCGGCCCGUCUGCUCCCGGGUAGGUCGCUGGAGCCGGCCGGUGACGGCCGGCCUAGAUAGAUGACCAUUCAACGACAUAACCCGGCUUAUCGUCCUGCUCA